rnacentral:rRNA from 1 species
GUGACAGCCCCGUACACAAAAGCGCAUGUGCUGUGAGCUCGAUGAGUAGGGCGGGACACGUGGUAUCCUGUCUGAAUAUGGGGGGACCAUCCUCCAAGGCUAAAUACUCCUGACUGACCGAUAGUGAACCAGUACCGUGAGGGAAAGGCGAAAAGAACCCCGGCGAGGGGAGUGAAAAAGAACCUGAAACCGUGUACGUACAAGCAGUGGGAGCACAGGUUUACCUGUGUGACUGCGUACCUUUUGUAUAAUGGGUCAGCGACUUAU